UAUAGAAAAUGACUACAAAGCACACAGUGAGUCAAGUUUUGCUAAACAUUCAUUUAUUAAAUAAAUCCAUUUGACCAAUGCAAAGAAUAAAACCUGUCAUUUUUUCCACAGUCUUCAAAAUCCUUUGGAGCCUAAAUUGUGCUCUUUGACUAUCUGCAGUGAUUCAACACUAAGUGUAUUUAAUGAAUAAAUGAAUCUGUAUAAACCAUGUUAUCUGGAUAAAUGCCAGAUGUCUAAGUCAGACAGUUUUGUCAGACAACUUUUCCCACCCCUCCCAAUAUCUUUCCUAUUUCAAAAAUCCAGCCAAGAUGUAUUGUUUUCUAGAGAUUGUAGUCUCUGAUACAGAACUCUUUGACUCACGAAACUGUAAUAAAAUGCUUUGGAUACCUCAGUAACUAGUCCCAUGGGUGACUUCUAAGACUGACCUAUCAUGCUAGAUUACACCAGUGAUCAAAGUAAGCUUCAAGUGAGGAGGCAGUCUCCAAUUUAAAAAUGGGUUUUGAUACAAAGUUUGUAAAUGGAAUCUUUGGAAUUUAGAAUGUCCAGAGACAAUGUUUAAAAUUACAAUUAGAUUACCAGACUACAAUGAUCAAAGUAUCUCUGGAAUCAGACAGCUGAAUGUUUAAUCAUCUAGGCUAACAGAUCUCUUAGCAUCCAGGAUUCAUUCUUGCAUAGGAGCUACACACUAAGCCACAGGACCAGGAGGAGGAGAUCCAGGAGAAAGAGAGGAAGCAAAAGAGAAGGACAGAGGCACUAAUAGCUGCUCUGCAAACAUACAAAGCCCAGGAUCCCUGAGGUACAUCUGCUAGUUUCUAUAGGUGCAGCAAGUCAGGGCACUUUAAGAAAGAGUGCCCAGGCAGCAAGAAAAAACCACCUUAACCUUGUCUAGCCUGUGGAAGGAACCAUUGGAAGUCGGACUGCCCCCAGAGAUGAAGGUCACCGGGUUCCAAACCAGUCUCACAGAUUGUCCAACAGGAUUGAUGGGUCCCGGAGCUCCAGUGGCUCAAACCAACAUACAGCACAGGAGCCCUGGGUGAUUCUGGAAAUUGAAGGAAGGUAGAUCUCCUUGUGAA
rnacentral:lncRNA from 1 species